ACAGAGCUUGGAGAGCUGGAGGAGCAGCCUCAGGGCAGUUGGCUGAAGGACACCCUUGGGAAAUACUGGGACAGCGUGUCCUCCCAGGUCAGCACAUGGGUCGAUACCAUCGCCAGCACACCCUUCGGACAGUACAUCAAGGGAGCAUUUACCAACAGCACCGCUGCCAUAUCCACCUACUCACAAAUCCUGUGGGACCAGCUCAUGCACUCAGUUUGAAGGCCCGGGCUCGUCCUGAGGGUGACCCACCCUCUCACACGGACUCGCCGCGCCCAAUGGAAUCCCUCGUCCCAUGGCAUCGCCCUCCUCCAUGUCAGUGCGUGAUCCCCGGAGAUCCCCGAAGCCAUUAAACUGUAGCAGUCCUGGUGAA